rnacentral:rRNA from 1 species
UACAGAGGGUGCGAGCGUUAAUCGGAAUUACUGGGCGUAAAGCGUGCGUAGACGGUUGCGUAAGUCGGAUGUGAAAUCCCCGGGCUCAACCUGGGAAUUGCAUUCGAGACUGCGUGGCUGGGGUGCGGAAGAGGGAAGCGGAAUUUCCGGUGUAGCGGUGAAAUGCGUAGAUAUCGGAAGGAACAUCAGUGGCGAAAGCGGCUUCCUGGUCCAGCACCGACGUUCAGGCACGAAAGCGUGGGGAGCAAACAGG